UACAGAGGUGGCAAGCGUUGUUCGGAAUUACUGGGCGUAAAGGGCGCGUAGGCGGUCUUGCAAGUCCUGUGUGAAAUCCCUCGGCUCAACUGAGGAACUGCACAGGAAACUGCUUGGCUUGAGUUCGGGAGAGGGAAGCGGAAUUCCGGGUGUAGCGGUGAAAUGCGUAGAUAUCCGGAGGAACACCGGUGGCGAAGGCGGCUUCCUGGACCGACACUGACGCUGAGGCACGAAAGCUAGGGGAGCAAACGGG
rnacentral:rRNA from 1 species